CAAUAGCGUAUAUUAAAGUUGUUGCAGUUAAAAAGCUCGUAGUUGGACUUCUGAUGCGAAAGGUUGGUCCACCGCAAGGUGAGCACUGACUCUUCGCGUCUUCCUCUCGUAGUUGUUUGGCGCACUUAGUUGGGUGCCAGAUGAAUAUGGGACCUUUACUUUGAAAAAUUAGAGUGUUCAAAGCAGGCAAUCGCUUGAAUACAUUAGCAUGGAAUAAUAGAAUAGGACUUUGGUUCUAUUUUGUUGGUUUCUAGGACCGAGGUAAUGAUUAAUAGGGACAGUUGGGGGCGAUUAGUAUUUAAUUAGUUCAGAGGUGGAAAUUACUUUGGUAUUUAUUGAAAGACUAACUACUGCGAAAGACAUUUGUCCAAGGAAUGUUUUCUAUUAAUUCAAGAACGAAAGUUAGGGGAGUCGAAGACGAUCAGAUACCGU
rnacentral:rRNA from 1 species